rnacentral:rRNA from 1 species
GACGUAGGGCGCAAGCGUUGUCCGGAUUUAUUGGGCGUAAAGAGCUCGUAGGCGGCUUGUUGCGUCGGCUGUGAAAACCCGCGGCUUAACCGUGGCUUGCAGCCGAUACGGGCGGGCUGGAGUUCGGUAGGGGAGACUGGAAUUCCUGGUGUAGCGGUGAAAUGCGCAGAUAUCAGGAGGAACACCGGUGGCGAAGGCGGGUCUCUGGGCCGAUACUGACGCUGAGGAGCGAAAGCGUGGGGAGCGAACAGGAUUAGAACCGUACCGUCGAGAUCCAAGACC